rnacentral:rRNA from 1 species
CCUACGGGAGGCAGCAGUGGGGAAUUUUGGACAAUGGGCGAAAGCCUGAUCCAGCAAUGCCGCGUGAGUGAAGAAGGCCUUCGGGUUGUAAAGCUCUUUUGUCAGGGAAGAAACGGUAUGGGCUAAUAUCCCGUGCCAAUGACGGUACCUGAAGAAUAAGCACCGGCUAACUACGUGCCAGCAGCCGCGGUAAUACGUAGGGUGCAAGCGUUAAUCGGAAUUACUGGGCGUAAAGCGUGCGCAGGCGGUUUUGUAAGUUUGUCGUGAAAUCCCCGGGCUCAACCUGGGAAUGGCGAUGAAGACUGCAAGGCUAGAAUCUGGCAGAGGGGGGUAGAAUUCCACGUGUAGCAGUGAAAUGCGUAGAGAUGUGGAGGAACACCGAUGGCGAAGGCAGCCCCCUGGGUCAAGAUUGACGCUCAUGCACGAAAGCGUGGGGAGCAAACAGGAUUAGAUACCCUGGUAGUCCACGCCCUAAACGAUGUCUACUAGUUGUCGGGUUUUAAUUAACUUGGUAACGCAGCUAACGCGUGAAGUAGACCGCCUGGGGAGUACGGUCGCAAGNUUAAAACUUAAAUGAAUUGACGGNNGAGAGNGCGAGACGACACGAGGAGAGG